rnacentral:rRNA from 1 species
CACCGCCCGUCACACCAUGGGAGUUGGUUCUACCCGAAGGCAGUGCGCCAACCGCAAGGAGGCAGCUACCACGGUGAGAUUCAUGACUGGGGUG